UACGGGGGGGGCAAGCGUUGUUCGGAAUUACUGGGCGUAAAGGGCUCGUAGGCGGCCAACUAAGUCAGACGUGAAGUCCCUCGGCUUAACCGGGGAACUGCGUCUGAUACUGGAUGGCUUGAGUUCGGGAGAGGGAUGCGGAAUUCCAGGUGUAGCGGUGAAAUGCGUAGAUAUCUGGAGGAACACCGGUGGCGAAGGCGGCAUCCUGGACCGAUACUGACGCUGAGGAGCGAAAGCCAGGGGAGCAAACGGG
rnacentral:rRNA from 1 species